AGCGAACGCUGGCGGCAGGCCUAAUACAUGCAAGUCGAACGCCCCUUCGGGGGAGUGGCGGACGGGUGAGUAACGCGUGGGAACGUGCCCUUUGGUUCGGAACAACACAGGGAAACUUGUGCUAAUACCGAAUGUGCCCUUCGGGGGAAAGAUUUAUCGCCAUUGGAGCGGCCCGCGUUGGAUUAGGUAGUUGGUGGGGUAAAGGCCUACCAAGCCUACGUUCCAUAGCUGGUCUGAGAGGAUGAUCAGCCACACUGGGACUGAGACACGGCCCAGACUCCUACGGGAGGCAGCAGUAGGGAAUCUUGCGCAAUGGGCGAAAGCCUGACGCAGCCAUGCCGCGUGAAUGAUGAAGGUCUUAGGAUUGUAAAAUUCUUUCACCGGGGAAGAUAAUGACGGUACCCGGAGAAGUAGCCCCGGCUAACUUCGUGCCAGCCGCCGCAGUAAAAC
rnacentral:rRNA from 1 species